rnacentral:rRNA from 1 species
GGGCUCGCGUCCUAUUAGGUAGUUGGUGAGGUAACGGCUCACCAAGCUGACGAUGGGUAGCCGACCUGAGAGGGUGACCGGCCACACUGGGACUGAGAUACGGCCCAGACUCCUACGGGAGGCAGCAGUAGGGAAUAUUGCGCAAUGGGCGAAAGCCUGACGCAGCAACGCCGCGUGGAGGAUGAAGUCCUUCGGGGUGUAAACUCCUUUCAGGGGGGAAGUGACGGUACCCCCAGAAGAAGCUCCGGCUAACCCCGUGCCAGCAGCCGCGGUAAUACGGGGGGAGCAAGCGUUGUCCGGAAUCACUGGGCGUAAAGGGUGCGUAGGCGGGAAUGCAAGUCCGUGGUGAAACCUGAUGGCUCAACUGUCAGCCUGCCCCGGAAACUGCAUUUCUUGAGUGCUGCAGAGGAGACCGGAAUUCCUGGUGCAGCGGUGAAAUGCGUAGAU